AGAGUUUGAUUCUGGCUCAGGACGAACGCUGGCGGCAUGCUUAACACAUGCAAGUCGAACGGAGCACCCUUGACAGAGGCUUCGGCCAAUAGAUAGGAAUGCUUAGUGGCGGACGGGUGAGUAACGCGUGAGCAACCUGCCUUUCAGAGGGGGACAACAGUUGGAAACGACUGCUAAUACCGCAUGACACAUUGGGAGGGCAUCCUCCUGAUGUCAAAGAUUUAUCGCUGAAAGAUGGGCUCGCGUCUGAUUAGCUAGUUGGUGAGGUAACGGCCCACCAAGGCGACGAUCAGUAGCCGGACUGAGAGGUUGAACGGCCACAUUGGGACUGAGAUACGGCCCAG
rnacentral:rRNA from 1 species